rnacentral:rRNA from 1 species
UACGGGGGGAGCAAGCGUUGUUCGGAUUUACUGGGCGUAAAGGGCGCGUAGGCGGCCACCGCAAGUCGGUUGUGAAAUCUCUGGGCUUAACCCAGAAAGGUCAACCGAUACUGCGGGGCUAGAGUGCAGAAGGGGCAACUGGAAUUCUCGGUGUAGCGGUGAAAUGCGUAGAUAUCGAGAGGAACACCUGCGGCGAAGGCGGGUAGCUGGGCCGACACUGACGCUGAUGCGCGAAAGCCAGGGAGCGAACGGG